GAAACUGCGAAUGGCUCAUUACAACAGUUAUGAUUUACUUGAUGGCGUGUCUACAUGGAUAACUUUGGAAAUUCUAUAGCUAAUACAUGAUGCAGGCCAGACUUUGCGGAAAGGCCACGACCAUCAUUUGCAAAACCUUCUGGGCGCUUCGGCUGCCCGCCAAUUUCACGAAUAGUGAUGGAUAGUGAAUCGCAUGAAUCUUUCGGCGAUAAAUCAUUCAAGUUUCUGACCUAUCAGUUUUCGACGGUAGAGCAUUUGUCUACAGUGUCCAUGACGGGUAACAGAGAAUUAGGGUUCGAUUCUGGAGAGGGAGCCUGAGAAACAGCUACCACAUCUAAGGAAGGCAGCAGGCGCGUAAAUUACCCAAUUCUGACAUAGGGAGGUAGUGACAAGAAAUAACAAUACAGGGCAUCCAUGUCUUGUAAUUGGAAUGAAUUGAAUUUAGAAUCUUUAGUGAGUAUCAAUUGGAGGGCAAGUCUGGUGCCAGCAGCCGCGGUAAUUCCAGCUCCAAUAGCAUAUAUUAAAGUUGUUGCAGUUAAAAAGCUCGUAGUUGGACUUCUGUCAGGGAUGUUCAGUCCGCCUUCUGGGUGAGUAUCUGAAUUGACCUUGACAUACUCUUGGUUGACGAUGUUGCGAUUCACUGCUGCGGCUCGGCUACCAGGACUUUUACCUUGAGGAAAUUAGAGUGUUUGGAGCAAGCUAUUAGCCUGAAUACAUUAGCAUGGCACAAUAAUACCAGACUUCUUUGUCUAUUCAGUUGGUUUUAGAUGAUUGGAAGUAAUGUUUAAUAGGGGCAAUUGGGGGCGUUUGUGUUUUGCUGCAAGAGGUGAAAUUCUUUGAUUUGCGACAGACAAACUACUGCGAAAGCAUUUGCCAAAGAUGUUCUCAUUGAUCAAGAACGAAAGUUAGGGGAUCGAAGAUGAUCAGAUACCAUCGUAGUCUUAACAGUAAACCAUGUCGACUAGAGCUUGGAGAUCGUUACCCUAAUGACUCCUUCAGUACCUUAUGAGAAAUCAAAGUUUUUGGGUUCUGGGGGGAGUAUGGUCGCAAGUCUGAAACUUAAAGGAAUUGACGGAAGGGCACCACCAGGAGUGGAGCCUGCGGCUUAAUUUGACUCAACACGAGGAAACUUACCAGGUCCAGACAUAGAUUGGAUUGACAGAUUGAUGGCUCUUUCUUGAUUUUAUGGGUGGUGGUGCAUGGCCGUUCUUAGUUGGUGGAGUGGUUUGUCUGGUUAAUUCCGAUAACGAACGAGACCUUAGCCUGCUAAAUAGUUAAGUGUAGUUCGCGCUACAUUGGCAACUUCUUAGAGGGAUUAUGCGUGUUUAACGCAAGGAAAUCUGAAGCAAUAACAGGUCUGUGAUGCCCUUAGAUGUUCUGGGCAGCACGCGGGCUACACUGAUGCACUCAGCGAGUUAGUGUUCUUGCCUGGAAAGGUUGGUUAAUCCCAAAAACGCAUCGUGAUGGGGAUAGAUUUUUGCAAUUAUGAAUCUUGAACGAGGAACUCCUAGUAAGUGCAAGUCAUCAGCUUGCGUUGAUUACGUCCCUGCCCUUUGUACACACGGCCCCGUCGAA
rnacentral:rRNA from 1 species